UACGAGAACUCUUCUGCUUGCAGAAGAUAGUAAAGUGGCGCACGGGUGAGUAACGCGUGGGUAAUCUACCUCUGAAUCGGGGAUAACUCCGCGAAAGCGGAGCUAAUACCGGAUAAUAUCUUUUUUACUUAGGCAAAUAAGAUCAAAGGUGGCCUCUACAUGUAAGCUACUGUUUGGAGAUGAGCCCGCGUACCAUUAGCUUGUUGGUGGGGUAAUAGCCUACCAAGGCUUCGAUGGUUAGCUGGUCUGAGAGGAUGAUCAGCCACACUGGAACUGACACACGGUCCAGACUCCUACGGGAGGCAGCAGUGGGGAAUUUUGCGCAAUGGGGGAAACCCUGACGCAGCAACGCCGCGUGAGUGAUGAAGGCCUUCGGGUCGUAAAGCUCUGUCAAGUGGGAAGAAAAUGCUUGAUGCUAAUACCAUCUUGCACUGACGGUACCACUGAAGGAAGCACCGGCUAACUCCGUGCCAGCAGCCGCGGUAAUACGGGGGGUGCAAGCGUUAUUCGGAAUCAUUGGGCGUAAAGGGCGCGUAGGCGGUCUCUUAAGUCAGAUGUGAAAGCCCGGGGCUCAACCCCGGAAGUGCAUUUGAAACUAAGGGACUUGAGUAUGGGAGAGGGAAGUGGAAUUCCUGGUGUAGAGGUGAAAUUCGUAGAUAUCAGGAGGAACACCGGUGGCGAAGGCGACUUCCUGGACCAAUACUGACGCUGAGGCGCGAAGGCGUGGGGAGCAAACAGGAUUAGAUACCCUGGUAGUCCACGCAGUAAACGGUGAACACUAGGUGUAGCGGGUAUUGACCCCUGCUGUGCCGCAGCUAACGCAUUAAGUGUUCCGCCUGGGGAGUACGGUCGCAAGAUUAAAACUCAAAGGAAUUGACGGGGGCCCGCACAAGCGGUGGA
rnacentral:rRNA from 1 species